rnacentral:rRNA from 1 species
UACGUAGGGCGCAAGCGUUAUCCGGAAUUAUUGGGCGUAAAGAGCUCGUAGGCGGUUUGUCGCGUCUGCCGUGAAAGUCCGGGGGCUCAACUCCGGAUCUGCGGUGGGUACGGGCAGACUAGAGUGCAGUAGGGGAGACUGGAAUUCCUGGUGUAGCGGUGAAAUGCGCAGAUAUCAGGAGGAACACCGAUGGCGAAGGCAGGUCUCUGGGCUGUAACUGACGCUGAGGAGCGAAAGCAUGGGGAGCGAACAGG